UACGUAGGGUGCAAGCGUUAAUCGGAAUUAUUGGGCGUAAAGAGCUCGUAGGCGGUGUGUCACGUCGGCCGUGAAAACCUGCAGCUUAACUGUGGGCGUGCGGUCGAUACGGGCAUCACUGGAGUUCGGCAGGGGAGACUGGAAUUCCUGGUGUAGCGGUGAAAUGCGCAGAUAUCAGGAGGAACACCGGUGGCGAAGGCGGGUCUCUGGGCCGAUACUGACGCUGAGGAGCGAAAGCGUGGGGAGCAAACAGG
rnacentral:rRNA from 1 species